UAAAGUUGUUGCAGUUAAAAAGCUCGUAGUUGGAUUUGUGGUGUGUCCAGUUGGCCUUUGCUCUUUGAGUGAUUGCGCUUUACUGGUCUGCCAUGUUUGGGUGGAAUCUGUGUGGCAUUAAGUUGUCGUGCAGGGGAUGCCCAUCGUUUACUGUGAAAAAAUUAGAGUGUUCAAAGCAGGCUUAUGCCGUUGAAUAUAUUAGCAUGGAAUAAUAAUAUAGGACCUUGGUACUAUUUUGUUGGUUUGCGCACUAAGGUAAUGAUUAAGAGGGACAGUUGGGGGUAUUUGUAUUCCAUUGUCAGAGGUGAAAUUCUUGGAUUUUUGGAAGACAAACUACUGCGAAAGCAUUUACCAAGGAUGUUUUCAUUAAUCAAGAACGAAAGUUAGG
rnacentral:rRNA from 1 species